rnacentral:tRNA from 1 species
GGCCUCGUAACUCAGAUGAUUGGAGAGUUGGCUAUACUUAAACUUUGCGGUUGUUGACGUGGGUUCAAAUCCCACCGAGGCUA